rnacentral:rRNA from 1 species
UUAAGCGACUAAGCGUACACGGUGGAUGCCCUGGCAGUCAGAGGCGAUGAAGGACGUGCUAAUCUGCGAUAAGCGUCGGUAAGGUGAUAUGAACCGUUAUAACCGGCGAUUUCCGAAUGGGGAAACCCAGUGUGUUUCGACACACUAUCAUUAACUGAAUCCAUAGGUUAAUGAGGCGAACCGGGGGAACUGAAACAUCUAAGUACCCCGAGGAAAAGAAAUCAACCGAGAUUCCCCCAGUAGCGGCGAGCGAACGGGGAGCAGCCCAGAGCCUGAAUCAGUGUGUGUGUUAGUGGAAGCGUCUGGAAAGGCGCGCGAUACAGGGUGACAGCCCCGUACACAAAAAUGCACAUAUUGUGAGCUCGAUGAGUAGGGCGGGACACGUGGUAUCCUGUCUGAAUAUGGGGGGACCAUCCUCCAAGGCUAAAUACUCCUGACUGACCGAUAGUGAACCAGUACCGUGAGGGAAAGGCGAAAAAGAACCCCGGCGAGGGGAGUGAAAAAGAACCUGAAACCGUGUACGUACAAGCAGUGGGAGCACGCUUAGGCGUGUGACUGCGUACCUUUUGUAUAAUGGGUCAGCGACUUAUAUUCUGUAGCAAGGUUAACCGAAUAGGGGAGCCGAAGGGAAACCGAGUCUUAACUGGGCGUUAAGUUGCAGGGUAUAGACCCCGAAACCCGGUGAUCUAGCCAUGGGCAGGUUGAAGGUUGGGUAACACUAACUGGAGGACCGAACCGACUAAUGUUGAAAAAUUAGCGGAUGACUUGUGGCUGGGGGUGAAAGGCCAAUCAAACCGGGAGAUAGCUGGUUCUCCCCGAAAGCUAUUUAGGUAGCGCCUCGUGAAUUCAUCUCCGGGGGUAGAGCACUGUUUCGGCAAGGGGGUCAUCCCGACUUACCAACCCGAUGCAAACUGCGAAUACCGGAGAAUGUUAUCACGGGAGACACACGGCGGGUGCUAACGUCCGUCGUGAAGAGGGAAACAACCCAGACCGCCAGCUAAGGUCCCAAAGUCAUGGUUAAGUGGGAAACGAUGUGGGAAGGCCCAGACAGCCAGGAUGUUGGCUUAGAAGCAGCCAUCAUUUAAAGAAAGCGUAAUAGCUCACUGGUCGAGUCGGCCUGCGCGGAAGAUGUAACGGGGCUAAACCAUGCACCGAAGCUGCGGCAGCGACGCUUAUGCGUUGUUGGGUAGGGGAGCGUUCUGUAAGCCUGUGAAGGUGUGCUGUGAGGCAUGCUGGAGGUAUCAGAAGUGCGAAUGCUGACAUAAGUAACGAUAAAGCGGGUGAAAAGCCCGCUCGCCGGAAGACCAAGGGUUCCUGUCCAACGUUAAUCGGGGCAGGGUGAGUCGACCCCUAAGGCGAGGCCGAAAGGCGUAGUCGAUGGGAAACAGGUUAAUAUUCCUGUACUUGGUGUUACUGCGAAGGGGGGACGGAGAAGGCUAUGUUGGCCGGGCGACGGUUGUCCCGGUUUAAGCGUGUAGGCUGGUUUUCCAGGCAAAUCCGGAAAAUCAAGGCUGAGGCGUGAUGACGAGGCACUACGGUGCUGAAGCAACAAAUGCCCUGCUUCCAGGAAAAGCCUCUAAGCAUCAGGUAACAUCAAAUCGUACCCCAAACCGACACAGGUGGUCAGGUAGAGAAUACCAAGGCGCUUGAGAGAACUCGGGUGAAGGAACUAGGCAAAAUGGUGCCGUAACUUCGGGAGAAGGCACGCUGAUAUGUAGGUGAAGUCCCUCGCGGAUGGAGCUGAAAUCAGUCGAAGAUACCAGCUGGCUGCAACUGUUUAUUAAAAACACAGCACUGUGCAAACACGAAAGUGGACGUAUACGGUGUGACGCCUGCCCGGUGCCGGAAGGUUAAUUGAUGGGGUCAGCGCAAGCGAAGCUCUUGAUCGAAGCCCCGGUAAACGGCGGCCGUAACUAUAACGGUCCUAAGGUAGCGAAAUUCCUUGUCGGGUAAGUUCCGACCUGCACGAAUGGCGUAAUGAUGGCCAGGCUGUCUCCACCCGAGACUCAGUGAAAUUGAACUCGCUGUGAAGAUGCAGUGUACCCGCGGCAAGACGGAAAGACCCCGUGAACCUUUACUAUAGCUUGACACUGAACAUUGAGCCUUGAUGUGUAGGAUAGGUGGGAGGCUUAGAAGUGUGGACGCCAGUCUGCAUGGAGCCGACCUUGAAAUACCACCCUUUAAUGUUUGAUGUUCUAACGUUGACCCGUAAUCCGGGUUGCGGACAGUGUCUGGUGGGUAGUUUGACUGGGGCGGUCUCCUCCUAAAGAGUAACGGAGGAGCACGAAGGUUGGCUAAUCCUGGUCGGACAUCAGGAGGUUAGUGCAAUGGCAUAAGCCAGCUUGACUGCGAGCGUGACGGCGCGAGCAGGUGCGAAAGCAGGUCAUAGUGAUCCGGUGGUUCUGAAUGGAAGGGCCAUCGCUCAACGGAUAAAAGGUACUCCGGGGAUAACAGGCUGAUACCGCCCAAGAGUUCAUAUCGACGGCGGUGUUUGGCACCUCGAUGUCGGCUCAUCACAUCCUGGGGCUGAAGUAGGUCCCAAGGGUAUGGCUGUUCGCCAUUUAAAGUGGUACGCGAGCUGGGUUUAGAACGUCGUGAGACAGUUCGGUCCCUAUCUGCCGUGGGCGCUGGAGAACUGAGGGGGGCUGCUCCUAGUACGAGAGGACCGGAGUGGACGCAUCACUGGUGUUCGGGUUGUCAUGCCAAUGGCACUGCCCGGUAGCUAAAUGCGGAAGAGAUAAGUGCUGAAAGCAUCUAAGCACGAAACUUGCCCCGAGAUGAGUUCUCCCUGACUCCUUGAGAGUCCUGAAGGAACGUUGAAGACGACGACGUUGAUAGGCCGGGUGUGUAAGCGCAGCGAUGCGUUGAGCUAACCGGUACUAAUGAACCGUGAGGCUUAACCUU